GGAGGAAAGCAGGGGAUCGUAAGACCUUGCGCUUUUGGAGCGGCCGAUGUCUGAUUAGCUAGUUGGUGAGGUAAAGGCUUACCAAGGCUUCGAUCGGUAGCUGGUCUGAGAGGACGACCAGCCACACUGGGACUGAGACACGGCCCAGACUCCUACGGGAGGCAGCAGUGGGGAAUUUUGGACAAUGGGGGCAACCCUGAUCCAGCCAUGCCGCGUGAGUGAAGAAGGCCUUCGGGUUGUAAAGCUCUUUCAGCCGGAACGAAACGGUCACGGUUAAUAACUGUGAUCGCUGACGGUACCGGAAGAAGAAGCACCGGCUAACUACGUGCCAGUAGCCGCGGUAAUACGUAGGGUGCGAGCGUUAAUCGGAAUUACUGGGCGUAAAGCGUGCGCAGGCGGUUUUGUAAGUCAGAUGUGAAAUCCCCGGGCUUAACCUGGGAACUGCGUUUGAAACUACAAAGCUAG
rnacentral:rRNA from 1 species